UCCGCAUAUUUUAUAUGCAACUUUAGUGUCAGAUAUAAUGUGUGCCGUGCACUCCAGAUGUUGAUGUAAUUUUUUUGUGUGUGUAUUGAGCAGAGAAGAGAGUUAGCAUCAAGAAAAUGUUAGCUUUAAUGUAAAUUAGCAGUGCUAACCGAGCUAGCUGCUCAGUCGUAGCCUGAUUAAAGCUAACGUAGCAUUAAGCUAAUGAUGUUUGUGUUGUUUUAUGUAAACAGCUGAAGUGUGUUGUGUUAGUGUAAUGUGAUACAUUUCCUUAACAAAACUGUCAGUGGAGAUACUGGUUCACAUCAAUGUAACAUUUAGAAAACCUAAAUAUGAUUAAAACAGUGAGGUUAAGGUUCUGUGUUGUCAGUAGUCCUGAAUAUCUGCUGAGUCUCUGAAGUUAAACUGGAGAAAACAGUAAAUCUACUCUCUAGUCGUUGUAAAUGUCGGAUAAAUUGUAUUAUUAUUCUCCUGCACAGUAUUGUUUAUGUAUUAAGAAGAUAUUGUAGUCCUGCAGUGCCACCUUGUGGUCUGUUCCGCUUUUAUUUUGUUAAGGGCGCGUUUCUUCUUCUUCGGCGGUUUUUGUGACGCCGAACUUCCUGUUUUUUUUGUCUAAACAACAUUGUGCUCACGCAUCGUCGGAGAAACGCUCUGAACAGCGACGUGUGUGUGUGUAUAUCGAGCUGGAGAGCAUGCUAGCUGAUGGCUAACACUUAAAUUAGCGCCCUUGGAACGGCGGAAUGAGGUAUGAAAAUGUUAAAUAUGCAUUAUUAUCAGAUGAGUUGCGUUUAUUUGUAUUAGAUGUAAAUAUGAUUUAUAUGUGAGUUGUUUGUGAUACUACAGUGAGGCAUUUGUAAUCUGUUUAAUUCUGUAGUUUUCACGGUGCUUAUGGUACACGGUGCUUGUCGAGAGUGAGAAUAAAUCAACACCACUUUGAAACUCUCUCCGUCUUGCUGAGUGAAUCCAAGGGGCCGCUACAGUCGUUAACAUUGUUUAAUGACUGAUUCACAUGUUGUAGUACUUCUUACUUAGCGUAGAUUGGAAAAAUGAACCCAGAAUAUGACCAAAGUCAUGAUGAACACUACAGUUAUUACAUUUAAAUUGCAGCACAGAUAAGCUGGAUAAUAAAAUCCUCUCCCCUAAAGCUGAAGUGACUACAGGCCUUUCAGUUCUUGUAAAACUAUAUGAAAUAGGAAAUCUUUCCAGAGUCACUUUAAAAUGAACCUCUGCUGUUGAUACUGAUGCUGUGAGGAUCUUCUAAGGGAAGCCAACAGAAGGAAAACCUCAUCUGGUUGUGAAGAAGGAGACUGAAUGGAUGACAUCCUCAGUGAAUCAUAUCCAGUUUAGCUUUCACUCACAUAAGUUCAGACCAACUCUUUAAGCAGUUUAUUAUUCUCUGUUCUUAGUAUUCACACGUUCCAUUCUUCACCUUUAACUUCAUCUCUGCUGUUGUAGCAGAAAUACAAUAUUAAAAGUCCAUGUUAUUUAUAGCAGAUAUGCUGCAUUAAAACAUCAACACAUUCAGGGCAGGAGCUUCAUUAUUUCCUUUAUUGCACAUUUAAAAACUACAUUAUUUAACAAAUCUGAACUGUAAAGAUGUGUAAACGCAUGCAAUAAAUGGCUCUUCAGACAACCACAGCUGGAUGUUCAUGUUCUCUGGAGCUUAGUCCACAUCAGACUAGAUGUUCGCAAUGAUCCAGACCAAGGCUAGAAGGAAAAGACACUAACAGUGAGAGCUCAGAUAUUAACUUAGAACUGAACUGAGAUGAACAUUCAUCAGUAACAGAGUUCUGUGCAGAAACAUUAAUGUAGAUUUAUUUAUAUCUGUUGAUCGUUAACGAACAGCACAUGGAGACAGCAGUUGUCGAUCCGUUAUGAUUGAUCAGCUCUGACCUGCAGGACACUUAGCUACAGCUAACAGGUGGUUAAUGAGUAAACCAUGAAACAUGAUUGCACAGGUUGAUGUCUCAUUAUAUUUUUACAUCCUUGUAUCACAAAUCAAAUUUCAUUCAAGGGCUGAAGACGUGUGUCAG
ensembl:lncRNA